GCGGGGAGCUUCCCGGAAACGAAAGUCUUCCGGUUCCGGGGGAAGUGUGGUUGCAAAGCUGAAACUUAAAGGAAUUGACGGAAGGGCACCACCAGGAGUGGAGCCUGCGGCUUAAUUUGACUCAACAUGGGAAAACUCACCCGGCCCGGACACCGUAAGGAUUGACAGAUUGAGAGCUCUUUCUUGAUUCGGUGGUUGGUGGUGCAUGGCCGUUCUUAGUUGGUGGAGCGAUUUGUCUGGUUUAUUCCGAUAACGAACGAGACUCUGGCCUACUAAAUAGUGACAGGAUUAUUACUGUCUUGGAUACUUCUUAGAGGGACAAGUGGUUUUCAGCCACACGAAAUUGAGCAAUAACAGGUCUGUGAUGCCCUUAGAUGUCCGGGGCUGCACGCGCGCUACACUGAAGGAAUCAGCGUGCUAAAACCAUUGUCGAAAGGCAUUGGUAAACCCAUUAAAAUCCUACGUGAUUGGGAUCGGGAAUUGCAAUUAUUUCCCUUGAACGAGGAAUUCCCAGUAAGUGUGGGUCAUAAGCUCGCGUUGAUUACGUCCCUGCCCUUUGUACACACCGCCCGUCGCUGCCCGGGACUGAGCCGUUUCGAGAAAAGCGGGGACUGCUGCUGUCGGGGCUUUCGGGCCUUGGCUUCGGUGGAAACCGCUUUAAU
rnacentral:rRNA from 1 species